AACGAACGCUGGCGGCAGGCUUAACACAUGCAAGUCGAACGGGCGUAGCAAUACGUCAGUGGCAGACGGGUGAGUAACACGUGGGAACCUUCCUAGGGGUACGGAACAACUCAGGGAAACUUGAGCUAAUACCGUAUACGUCCGUGAGGAGAAAGAUUUAUCGCCCUUAGACGGGCCCGCGUCGGAUUAGGUAGUUGGUGGGGUAACGGCCUACCAAGCCGACGAUCCGUAGCUGAUCUUAGAGGAUGAUCAGCCACACUGGGACUGAGACACGGCCCAGACUCCUACGGGAGGCAGCAGCGGGGAAUCUUGGACAAUGGGCGCAAGCCUGAUCCAGCCAUGCCGCGUGAGUGAAGAAGGCCUUAGGGUUGUAAAGCUCUUUUACCAGGGACGAUAAUGACGGUACCUGGAGAAUAAGCCCCGGCAAACUUCGUGCCAGCCGCCGCAGUAACAC
rnacentral:rRNA from 1 species